CACGGAGUUAGCCGAUCCUUAUUCAUAAAGUACAUGCAAACGGGUAUGCAUACCCGACUUUAUUCCUUUAUAAAAGAAGUUUACAACCCAUAGGGCAGUCAUCCUUCACGCUACUUGGCUGGUUCAGGCCAUCGCCCAUUGACCAAUAUUCCUCACUGCUGCCUCCCGUAGGAGUUUGGACCGUGUCUCAGUUCCAAUGUGGGGGACCUUCCUCUCAGAACCCCUAUCCAUCGUUGACUAGGUGGGCCGUUACCCCGCCUACUAUCUAAUGGAACGCAUCCCCAUCGUCUACCGGAAAUACCUUUAAUCAUGCGGACAUGUGAACUCAUGAUCCCAUCCUGGAUUAAUCUUCCUUUCAGAAGGCUGGCCAAGAGUAGACGGCAGGUUGGAUACGUGUUACUCACCCGUGCCGCCGGUCGCCAUCAGCCUUAGCAAGCUAAGACCAUGCUCGCCCCUCGACUUGCAUGUGUUAAGCCUGAGCUAGCGUUCACUCC
rnacentral:rRNA from 1 species